rnacentral:rRNA from 1 species
UACGUAGGCAGCGAGCGUUGUUCGGAGUUACUGGGCGUAAAGCGUGCGUAGGCGGUGGUCCAAGUCUGGUGUGAAAUCUCCCGGCUCAACUGGGAGGGUGCGCCGGAAACUGGGCCGCUGGAGUACGGGAGAGGCAAGCGGAAUUCCUGGUGUAGCGGUGAAAUGCGUAGAUAUCAGGAGGAACACCGGCGGUGUAGACGGCUUUCUGGACCGUAGCUGACGCUGAGACACGAAAGCGUGGGUAGCAAACAGG